CGCGUAGGUGGCCAAUUAAGUCAAAUGUGAAAUCCCCGAGCUUAACUUGGGAAUUGCAUUCGAUACUGGUUGGCUAGAGUAUGGGAGAGGAUGGUAGAAUUCCAGGUGUAGCGGUGAAAUGCGUAGAGAUCUGGAGGAAUACCGAUGGCGAAGGCAGCCAUCUGGCCUAAUACUGACACUGAGGUGCGAAAGCAUGGGGAGCAAACA
rnacentral:rRNA from 1 species